UACGUAGGUGACAAGCGUUUGUCCGGAUUUACUGGGCGUAAAGAGCGCGCAGGCGGUCGAUCAAGUCGAGUGUGAAAGCCCCCGGCUCAACUGGGGAGGGUCAUUCGAUACUGAUCGACUCGAAGGCAGGAGAGGGUAGUGGAAUUCCCGGUGUAGUGGUGAAAUGCGCAGAUAUCAGGAGGAACACCGAUGGCGAAGGCAGGUCUCUGGGCUGUAACUGACGCUGAGGAGCGAAAGCAUGGGGAGCGAACAGG
rnacentral:rRNA from 1 species